rnacentral:rRNA from 1 species
AUUGAACGCUGGCGGCAGGCUUAACACAUGCAAGUCGAGCGGGGGAAGGUAGCUUGCUACUGGACCUAGCGGCGGACGGGUGAGUAAUGCUUAGGAAUCUGCCUAUUAGUGGGGGACAACAUCUCGAAAGGGAUGUUAAUACCGCAUACGUCCUACGGGAGAAAGCAGGGGAUCUUCGGACCUUGCGCUAAUAGAGGAGCCUAAGUCGGAUUAGCUAGUUGGUGGGGUAAAGGCCUACCAAGGCGACGAUCUGUAGCGGGUCUGAGAGGAUGAUCCGCCACACUGGGACUGAGACACGGCCCAGACUCCUACGGGAGGCAGCAGUGGGGAAUAUUGGACAAUGGGGGGAACCCUGAUCCAGCCAUGCCGCGUGUGUGAAGAAGGCCUUAUGGUUGUAAAGCACUUUAAGCGAGGAGGAGGCUACUUUAGUUAAUACCUAGAGAUAGUGGACGUUACUCGCAGAAUAAGCACCGGCUAACUCUGUGCCAGCCGCCGCAGUAA